GGGGCUGAUUCUGGAUUCGACGGGAUUUGCGAAACCCAAGGUGCAUGCCGAGGGGCGGUUGGCCUCGUAAAAAGCCGCAAAAAAUAGUCGCAAACGACGAAAACUACGCUUUAGCAGCUUAAUAACCUGCUUAGAGCCCUCUCUCCCUAGCCUCCGCUCUUAGGACGGGGAUCAAGAGAGGUCAAACCCAAAAGAGAUCGCGUGGAAGCCCUGCCUGGGGUUGAAGCGUUCAAACUUAAUCAGGCUAGUUUGUUAGUGGCGUGUCCGUCCGCAGCUGGCAAGCGAAUGUAAAGACUGACUAAGCAUGUAGUACCGAGGAUGUAGGAAUUUCGGACGCGGGUUCAACUCCCGCCAGCUCCACCA
rnacentral:tmRNA from 1 species